GAUGAACGCUGGCGGCGUGCCUAAUACAUGCAAGUCGAACGGAAAGACCCUGCGCUUGUGGCGUGCUCGAGUGGCGAACGGGGGUGUAACACGCGAGUAUCCCGCCCUUGACUGUGGGAUAACUUCAGGAAACUGGGGCGAAUACAGGAUAGGAGCUCCUGCUGCACGGGGGGGGUUGGAAAGUGUCGGCGGUUGGGGCUGGAUUCGCGGCUUAUCAGCUUGUUGGUGGGGUAGUGGCGUACCAAGGCUUUGACGGGUAGCCGGCCUGAGAGCGUGACCGGCCACAUUGGGCCUGCGAUACGGCCCAGACUCCUACGGGAGGCAGCAGUGGAGAAUAUUGCACAAUGGGCGGAAGCCUGAUGCAGCAACGCCGCGUGCGGGAUGCCGGCCUUCGGGUUGUAAACCGCUUUCGCCUGUGACGAAGCGUGAGUGACGGUAAUGGGUAAAGAAGCACCGGCUAACUACGUG
rnacentral:rRNA from 1 species